UUGAUGGGAUAGACUGAAGAGUUAAGUGCACAUGUUUUAAGGACAAAAAUGACUAUAAAAGAAAAAACAAAUGUCGGAACGAAAUGUGACAUGUAUGCGUGCAAGAAACUUGUUUGACCUAUAACCCUGUGCGAGGUUAGAGUUCAGUCAAAACAAGCCAAAUCCAAAUAAACGUAUUUACGUAAAUAGACGAACCAAACAAAAAAAAAUGUAGAAGUUGGCAGCCGUAUAAAAAGCAAUGCUUGAAUGGAAGCUUUGAAAAAUGAAUUCUGGAAAAUGAAAGCUUUGAAUAUAUACAAUGAAAUUAGAGUUUAGAAAGUAAAUUUAACUAAAGAUAGAGGGGGUUAUGCGACUGUAGUGAUGAGUUUAAGAUACAGCUACUGUAUAUCGUUGGUUUUAUUUUUUUUAUACGAGUUUAUAAACUUACAGUUGGCAUCUAAGCCAGAUUUUUGUUUCAUGUUAAAUUGAAAAGAUUUUUUUAAAUAUAAUUUCAACGCAACGCAUUGUAAAUAACUUUGACACGUUUUUUUAUAAAGAGAAAUAAAUUAUCGCAAUGCAUUUUAUAUGUGCUUAUAAUUGUUACUGAUGUAUCAAUAUUCAUAUAUAAUAUAUAUAUAUAAUAGUUUUAAAUUAUUUUCUUUCGGGCUGAAAAACAUUUUAUUCAAACAUGCUGCUACUGGAUAUAUAAUGUACAACUCCCCUUACUUUAAGUCUCUCGAUAGAAUGUUACAAUGUGGACAAACGGUACCAAAUAGAAGAGCGUGUUAUGAAGUUUGAAAAUUAAAAAGGGAAUGUACUAUCUCAUAUGUCUUUUAGAACUAUCUGCGACCUACAUAUUUUUCUAUAAUCCAACCAAACAAAGCCGUUGUUAUAGUAUCUAUAUAAUGUUGCGUCAAGCUGAAAAUAAUAGCGAUAUAAGAUCUUUCAGGCCUAUGAAUUAUUAUGCUUACUAGCAAACUGAAAUGUAGGCCUAUAAUUAUGCACACAAAUUUACGUUCAAGUCAUACUAAUAAAAAUAGUUAUGAAAAUGAAUUAUUAUUAUUAGCGAGUUAUGUAAUAUCAAGAUUAAGAUAAUAGGGUCAAUGAUUAAAAGUAUUGGGACAUGGAUAGGUAUGGAUAGGUAUGGAUAGGUAUGGAUAGACACCAAGAAGUAAAAUUCUAAAUCCAGACAAAAAUAUUUACUUUGAGUAUUUGAAUUAAAGGUGCAGGCAAAGGGGAAAAAA